rnacentral:rRNA from 1 species
CAAACCAAAAGCUGGCGACCGGCGCACGGGUGAGUAACACGUAUCCAACCUGCCUCAUACUCGGGGAUAGCCUUUCGAAAGAAAGAUUAAUAUCCGAUAGCAUAUAUUUCCCGCAUGGGUUUUAUAUUAAAGAAAUUCGGUAUGAGAUGGGGAUGCGUUCCAUUAGUUUGUUGGGGGGGUAACGGCCCACCAAGACUACGAUGGAUAGGGGUUCUGAGAGGAAGGUCCCCCACAUUGGAACUGAGACACGGUCCAA